UACGGAGGGGGCUAGCGUUGUUCGGAAUUACUGGGCGUAAAGCGCACGUAGGCGGCUUUGUAAGUUAGAGGUGAAAGCCCGGGGCUCAACUCCGGAAUUGCCUUUAAGACUGCAUCGCUAGAAUUGUGGAGAGGUAAGUGGAAUUCCGAGUGUAGAGGUGAAAUUCGAUAGAUAUUCGGAAGAACACCAGUGGCGAAGGACGACUUACUGGACAGCAUAUU
rnacentral:rRNA from 1 species